rnacentral:lncRNA from 1 species
CAGGAAUGCUAUUGGGACACACACCUCCAACAAAUAUACCACAUUUAUACACACUUUAUACUUUACCUCACGUGUCCCACACAUGUGACAUUUUCAAUUUUAUUUUAAUUAAAAAUUAAUUAACAAACAUAUCAAAUACACAAGAAUGCACUGUUUGUUUCAUCUUCUCUCUUGCAGGAUUCAUUCCCUCUCCUCGCCUUCUCCCUCUCUGUGACGUUCUACUACUUAGAGUUGUCACCGUCACCACCGCCGAGAGGCCUGUUCUGUCUCCGUCGU